rnacentral:rRNA from 1 species
ACGGCCAUACCAUGCUGAAUAUACCGGUUCUCGUUCGAUCACCGAAGUCAAGCAUCAUCGGAUGCGGUCAGUACUUGGGAUGGUGACUACCUGGGAACACCGCGUGCCGUU